UGGGGAAUAUUGGACAAUGGGCGAAAGCCUGAUCCAGCCAUGCCGCGUGUGUGAAGAAGGUCUUCGGAUUGUAAAGCACUUUAAGUUGGGAGGAAGGGCAGUAAGCGAAUACCUUGCUGUUUUGACGUUACCGACAGAAUAAGCACCGGCUAACUCUGUGCCAGCAGCCGCGGUAAUACAGAGGGUGCAAGCGUUAAUCGGAAUUACUGGGCGUAAAGCGCGCGUAGGUGGUUCGUUAAGUUGAAUGUGAAAGCCCCGGGCUCAACCUGGGAGCUGCAUCCAAAACUGGCGAGCUAGAGUAGGGCAGAGGGUGGUGGAAUUUCCUGUGUAGCGGAGAAAUGCGUAGAUAUAGGAAGGAACACCAGUGGCGAAGGCGAGCACCUGGGCUCAUACUGACACUGAGGUGCGAAAGCGUGGGGAGCAAACAGG
rnacentral:rRNA from 1 species